rnacentral:tRNA from 1 species
ACUUAAGUAAUUUAAUUAAAAUAUUGAUUUGUGGUGUCAAUUAUGCAUUUAUGUGCCUUGGGUU